GUAGGGAAUAUUGGACAAUGGGCGAAAGCCUGAUCCAGCAAUGCCGCGUGUGUGAAGAAGGCCUGCGGGUUGUAAAGCACUUUCGGGUGGGAAGAAAAGCAAGUGGCUAAUACCUACUUGUAUUGACGUUACCACUAUAAGAAGCACCGGCUAACUCUGUGCCAGCAGCCGCGGUAAGACAGAGGGUGCAAGCGUUAAUCGGAAUUACUGGGCGUAAAGCGUGCGUAGGCGGUCAAGUCAGUCGAGUGUGAAAUCCCCGAGCUUAACUUGGGAAUUGCAUUUGAUACUACUUGACUAGAGUAUAGUAGAGGGAAGCGGAAUUCCACGUGUAGCGGUGAAAUGCGUAGAUAUGUGGAGGAACACCAGUGGCGAAGGCGGCUUCCUGGACUAAUACUGACGCUCAGGUACGAAAGCGUGGGGAGCAAACAGGAUUAGAAACCCUGGUAGUCC
rnacentral:rRNA from 1 species